ensembl:snoRNA
UGGUCAUUACCAAGGCUUUAAGAAUGCACUUUCUCAUUUGCUGUGGACAUGACCACAGCAAAUGUAGUUGUGUGCUACUUUGCUAGCAAUCAAUCUGUUGGGAACAUUU